rnacentral:rRNA from 1 species
CCGAGUAAGGGUCUCUCAGGCCCGAUCUCCCACCCUAUGUGUACCUACCUUUGUUGCUUUGGCGAGCCCGCUGGGGCAACCCACCGUCGGCUUCGGCUGGCGAGCGCCCGCCAGAGACCAUCCAAACUCUGUUUAUCAGUGUCGUCUGAGAAAAAACACAAUAGUUAAAACUUUCAACAACGGAUCUCUUGGUUCUGGCAUCGAUGAAGAACGCAGCGAAAUGCGAUAAGUAAUGUGAAUUGCAGAAUUCAGUGAAUCAUCGAAUCUUUGAACGCACAUUGCGCCCCCUGGUAUUCCGGGGGGCAUGCCUGUUCGAGCGUCAUUACACCAGUCAAGCUCAGCUUGGUAUUGGGCCCUCGUCCCCCCGGGACGUGCCUGAAAAUCAGUGGCGGUGCUGCCUGACUUCAAGCGUAGUAAUUUCUACCCUCGCUUUGGAAGCUCGGGACGUGUGCCUGCCAUACAACCCCCAUCUUUUUAUGGUUGACCUCGGA